UCUCUUCCCAGGAUCUUCCCUUGAAGGCGAUGCCGCCAAGAAAGCGGGGAAAAAGGGGGUGACCACCGCUACUAAGCAGCGACAACCGCAACCGCCCGACCCGCUUUGGACUCGACGCUCCCGUGCGGGAGAAGCUGCGGUGGCUUGCUGACCAAGAGACUGGGAUUCCUCAUCUGAAGGAGUUUGGAGUGGACGGGGAGUACAAUGUCAUGGUCAUUGAUCUUCUUGGUCCAAGUCUGGAAGACUUAUUCAACUAUUGAAACAGAAAAUUCACUCUUAAAACAGUACUUAUGCUUGCUUGAUCGGAUGGUAAGUUUUUCUUCUUGUAUCAUAGCAUUUUGUAUGUUAAUAUUGGCCCACCUAUUUGACAUAAUACCAACGGAAGUAUCUAUGUGCAAACUCAAAUCUUAUGUGUAAUUGUUUUGUCAUUUUUACCGCCAAAUUAAUGCAUUCAAAUAUUUUUAUACAGAUUGCUAGGGUAGAGUACAUGCACUUGAGGGGCUUUCUUCAUCGUGAUAUAAAGCCGGAUAACUUUCUUAUGGGUUCAGGCCGUAGAGCAAGCCAGGGAAUGUGACAUGUGGGAGGAAGACAGAGAGGCUACAUGCGUAUGGAAAUUUUUCCACACAACUUUUUAUUUAGACUACUACCUCUAUAAUGGGUGAUAACAUAUGUGUGAUACAUGUAAGGUCAUAUUUAUUAGGUUGUAAGGGCUCUUUUGAUUUGAAGGAUAGGAAAAACAUAGGAAUAGGAAAGGUAUAUGAUUGGAAUGACAUGUCUACUUGAAUCCUAUAGGAAGAUGAAGUUUGUUUGAUUGUAGCAAAGGAAUUUUUCCAUAAGGUAUGAGCUAAUGCUUUUUUCCUAUAGGAAUUACACUACAAGUUUCCUAUAGGAAUUUUUCCUAUAGGCUAUGUUCCUAUGAAUCAAACAAUAUGCACAAGAAAAUUUUCCCAUAGAAACCAAAUCCUACACAAUUCCUAUGCAAAUCCUUCGAAUCAAAGGAGCCCUAAACUCAUCUUGUUUGGGGAAGUGUGAUGUUAAUGUAACAAAGCUAGUUACCACUCUAGUCUUUUUUUUUUAAUUUAUUGUCAUGUCAUGUCACCAAAUUACUUGAAAUGUGUGAUGUUACUAUCUAUGUCACUUCUACCAUGAUUAAUUUUAAUAACCAUUU